CCGAAAGGCAGGAGUGCCUGCAAGGGAGCGCGGAGACAGGUGGUGCAUGGCUGUCGUCAGCUCGUGUCGUGAGAUGUUGGGUUAAGUCCCGCAACGAGCGCAACCCUCACCUCUUGUUGCCAUCAGGUCAUGCUGGGCACUCUAGAGGAACUGCCCCGGUCAACGGGGAGGAAGGCGGGGAUGACGUCAAGUCAUCAUGCCCCUUACGUCCUGGGCUACACACGUGCUACAAUGGCCGGUACAAAGGGAUGCCACACCGCGAGGUAGAGCUAAACCCAAAAAGCCGGUCUAAGUUCGGAUUGGAGUCUGCAACUCGACUCCAUGAAGGAGGAAUCGCUAGUAAUCGCGUAUCAGCACGACGCGGUGAAUACGUUCCCGGGCCUUGUACACACCGCCCGUCACACCACGAAAGUCUG
rnacentral:rRNA from 1 species